ACACAGCUUUUCACAAGCCUCAACACAUUUCACUACUCAUUCAACACAGUUAAUAGUCCCUGAAGAGCCUCACAUUUGUGACAUCGCAGCCCAUCCUGGGUCUCUCCUCUUUUCUCUCUUAACAUACUCCGGUUCCCUGAUUUCCAGUGUGUGUGGAGUGAUUCGAGGUGACCUCGUUACGGAGGAUGACAAUACAACAAAAGAAUGGGGUUAUGAAAUCGAGAAAUUCUAUUUCCACCCUCCUGGCCAUUCAUCUCCCUGUAAGAAGAGGAUUCAUUAUAUGGUACCCUCUCUUCACUAUCCUGUGAAUUUGCAUACUCCGCAUAUAUAUGCCCACACACGCACACG